GCCCAGCCUCAGCCCCUCCCCUGCCGGCCGAGCACAGCUAGCUCCGAGAUCGUGACCUCAGGAGGAAGACGCAGGCGGGCCUGCAGUGCCAUCCACAACUUGUGCAAUAUUCUUCCUGAGAACUUUGCCAUGAAAGUUGGCAGAGCUUCCUGACAGACCAUCUUGCCUUCGAUUUGAUUGACAGCAAGAGAAGGAAGGACCCCACACAAGCUCAUGGACUCCUUCAGUUAUUUCCUGCUCUUGUCGCCGGCCUGGGGCUCUUGGAUGUCAGGAAUCACGUCUUCCUUAAAUUGCAGGUCACCUUCCCCCGACUGUCUGAGCCAACCUCAACAUUGCUUUCCUCGGUGGAAAUUUUAUCUGCGUUGCCAAUUGAUGGACAUUUCCCCCUGCACCUCUCCAUUCUGGACUACCGACAGUUGAUAUGACAUUUCGGUUCUCCCUCUCUCUACCAAAUCAUGCUCAGAAGCCAACAGCAAGCCAGUAAUCCUCCCGUUUGAACAAUUACAAGACCUACUCUUGAGACUCAUAUGUGGAGGUCAGAGACCAUUUUCUUUCAGGGGGAGUUAGUCUUUUCCCCUACACUGUAUGUUCCCCUGCUGGGAUGGCUUGCUAGCUUUCCUCCUAUUUUUACUUUUAUUUACUUAGAGAUACUUGCUUAUAGUGUAUUUAGAUCUAAUACACCCCAUUCCCUCCCCUCUUAUUCUUCUCCUAUCCCACUAAAAUUUCCCUCCCUCUAUGUUCUCCCUCUCUGUCUUUCUCUCAUCCCUGCGCUCUCCCUCACCCCUUUCCUUCCUUCCUCCCAGCCCUCCACCAGCUCUGUGAUUUAAUACCAUCCAAUCCAUUUAGUGCUUCAUGAAUGCACAUGGGUACUGAAGCAUGGCCAGCCUCGCAGGGCCUGGGUCCCGAGGUGAUCCCUUUUCCAUCCAUGCUGGGGUUUAAUUUCCUCCCCUGCUGUCAGUGUAACAAUGAGUGCAGAGAAAACACUUAUUGUUGGAUGAGUGAGAGAUAAAUAGAGGAAGGGAGGCAGGUCCUGAUGUUCCUUGAAGUACACAACUUCCAACGACCUGAGACUCCCCUGUAGACACAUCCUGUAGAGGCUUCCUUUGCCUUCUAAUAUAUGCAUACCAAAAUUAUAACACACAGGCAUUGGGGAAGUAGCUCAGAUUUGACCUAUGCCAUGGUCCCAGCUUUACUUUUCCACAUCUUCUAGCUCAAAUGCUCAUCAGAGGCUCAAGUUGCUGUGUUCUGAUGAUGAAGCCUUGGGAGAGAUUCUGGUUGGCUAGCUGUGGUCAGAUGCAAACUCUGUAUCCAGCUAGAAAGGCCCCUACAUGCUCUGCAAACACAGCAAUGUAAGUGGGCAUCAGUACCUUGGAGCAGCUUCCUCCAGAAAGCUCCCAAAUGUCACAGAUCAGUUCCUCUCUACAUACUGGUUAAUUUUACAUACGGAGCUCACACAUAAAGUUUAUAC